AAUGGGUCAGCGACUUAUAUUCUGUAGCAAGGUUAACCGAAUAGGGGAGCCGAAGGGAAACCGAGUCUUAACUGGGCGUUAAGUUGCAGGGUAUAGACCCGAAACCCGGUGAUCUAGCCAUGGGCAGGUUGAAGGUUGGGUAACACUAACUGGAGGACCGAACCGACUAAUGUUGAAAAAUUAGCGGAUGACUUGUGGCUGGGGGUGAAAGGCCAAUCAAACCGGGAGAUAGCUGGUUCUCCCCGAAAGCUAUUUAGGUAGCGCCUCGUGAAUUCAUCUCCGGGGGUAGAGCACUGUUUCGGCAAGGGGGUCAUCCCGACUUACCAACCCGAUGCAAACUGCGAAUACCGGAGAAUGUUAUCACGGGAGACACACGGCGGGUGCUAACGUCCGUCGUGAAGAGGGAAACAACCCAGACCGCCAGCUAAGGUCCCAAAGUCAUGGUUAAGUGGGAAACGAUGUGGGAAGGCCCAGACAGCCAGGAUGUUGGCUUAGAAGCAGCCAUCAUUUAAAGAAAGCGUAAUAGCUCACUGGUCGAGUCGGCCUGCGCGGAAGAUGUAACGGGGCUAAACCAUGCACCGAAGCUGCGGCAGCGACACUAUGUGUUGUUGGGUAGGGGAGCGUUCUGUAAGCCUGUGAAGGUGUACUGUGAGGUAUGCUGGAGGUAUCAGAAGUGCGAAUGCUGACAUAAGUAACGAUAAAGCGGGUGAAAAGCCCGCUCGCCGGAAGACCAAGGGUUCCUGUCCAACGUUAAUCGGGGCAGGGUGAGUCGACCCCUAAGGCGAGGCCGAAAGGCGUAGUCGAUGGGAAACAGGUUAAUAUUCCUGUACUUGGUGUUACUGCGAAGGGGGGACGGAGAAGGCUAUGUUGGCCGGGCGACGGUUGUCCCGGUUUAAGCGUGUAGGCUGGUUUUCCAGGCAA
rnacentral:rRNA from 1 species